UUAAGUUCAGCGGGUAUCCCUACCUGAUCCGAGGUCAACCUAAGAAAAAUUGGGGGUUUGACGGCAGAAACAUCUCGACACAAGGCGAACAGUUAUUACUACGCCGGGUACCAGAGACCUUCCGCCAUUGUAUUUCGGAACGGAGACCGGACAAGCGGACUCUUCUUCCAUGACCAAGCACAACAGCUUGAGUGGUUUUU
rnacentral:misc_RNA from 1 species